GCCCUUGUGGUGUAACGGUCAGCACACUCGCCGUGUAUCUGAGAGGUCCGUGGUUCGAGUCCUGGUGAGGGCA
rnacentral:tRNA from 1 species